rnacentral:lncRNA from 1 species
AUGUGGUACCUGAGCAGCAACGUGCCCACGUGUGCCUGGAGCUGCCCUGUACCUGCAGCGUGCUGCCUGCACUGCUGUCACUUGGGUGAAUUUAAAGAUUGUCAUUGUGAUAUCAUCACGACAAAUACUUCUCAGGAGAACUUCUUACUUCACGACAAAUCCAUCAUUGGAGAGGUCUGGGCAUCCCUGCUAUGUCCCAUUGGUGUCAGCAUUGGUGGAAGGAAGAGAACCAGUCCCUGCUGUGAUGCUGGGGUGCCCUAUGCUGAAUUCCACAGGUGCCAAGAGAGGAGGAACUGCCACUUCCUAGGCUGUAAAAAUGCCUUGAGCUGCUGCUGCUGUUUCCACACACUAACAGUCAUCAGAUGUUGGCUAUCCUUUACCAACAGCUUUUUGUGGAGGCAGUGGAAUGGAAGUGUUUCCUCAGAGGGCCCACUGCUACCUGCCUGCUGUCUGCAUUGGUUUCUCCCUCUGAUCCCAUGGAGCUCGCAAGGCUUUCCCAGUGCAUUCAUUCAUUCAGUGCCUCCCACAAAGGGGCCUCUUCAGAAUGGGACCAGAGCACUCUCCACUGCUCCUCAUAUGCCAGCCAAUCGCUCCAGUGUUACCGUCUGGGCUCUUUUUAAUCUGGUUGAGUCCAUGAGAAAUGAAAGCUUUUAUCUCAACUUCUGUAGAGUAGUAAUAAUAACCUGCUGUAAGCCUGGCUGUCCCGAAUGUCACUGCUGGCUCAGGAAAACAAGAUAA